rnacentral:rRNA from 1 species
UGGGGAAUAUUGCACAAUGGGCGAAAGCCUGAUGCAGCGACGCCGCGUGAGGGAUGACGGCCUUCGGGUUGUAAACCUCUUUCAGCAGGGAAGAAGCGAAAGUGACGGUGCCUGCAGAAGAAGCGCCGGCUAACUACGUGCCAGCAGCCGCGGUAAUACGUAGGGCGCAAGCGUUGUCCGGAAUUAUUGGGCGUAAAGAGCUCGUAGGCGGUUAGUCGCGUCUGCUGUGAAAACUCGAGGCUCAACCUCGGGCUUGCAGUGGGUACGGGCUGACUAGAGUGCGGUAGGGGUGACUGGAAUUCCUGGUGUAGCGGUGGAAUGCGCAGAUAUCAGGAGGAACACCGAUGGCGAAGGCAGGUCACUGGGCCGCAACUGACGCUGAGGAGCGAAAGCAUGGGGAGCGAACAGGAUUAGAUACCCUGGUAGUCCAUGCCGUAAACGUUGGGCACUAGGUGUGGGGUCCAUUCCACGGAUUCCGUGCCGCAGCAAACGCAUUAAGUGCCCCGCCUGGGGAGUACGGCCGCAAGGCUAAAACUCAAAUGAAUUGACGGGGUCAUAGAUGUUUCCUG